rnacentral:rRNA from 1 species
UGGGGAAUAUUGGACAAUGGGCGAAAGCCUGAUCCAGCCAUGCCGCGUGUGUGAAGAAGGUCUUCGGAUUGUAAAGCACUUUAAGUUGGGAGGAAGGGCAGUAAGUUAAUACCUUGCUGUUUUGACGUUACCGACAGAAUAAGCACCGGCUAACUCUGUGCCAGCAGCCGCGGUAAUACAGAGGGUGCAAGCGUUAAUCGGAAUUACUGGGCGUAAAGCGCGCGUAGGUGGUUUGUUAAGUUGGAUGUGAAAGCCCCGGGCUCAACCUGGGAACUGCAUCCAAAACUGGCAAGCUAGAGUACGGUAGAGGGUGGUGGAAUUUCCUGUGUAGCGGUGAAAUGCGUAGAUAUAGGAAGGAACACCAGUGGCGAAGGCGACCACCUGGACUGAUACUGACACUGAGGUGCGAAAGCGUGGGGAGCAAACAGGAUUAGAUACCCUUGUAGUCCCUGAGCGGGCUGGCAAGGCGCAU